CAAGGAAUUGAGCACAUGGCACGGAAAGUGCCCUUAAACCAGCCCGGGAAGAUGAAGGCGAGCUUCCUGGAGGAAGAGGCACCUAAGCUGAUGACUGAAGAAAACGAUGUCUGUAUGGGUCUCCCCGGUUUUGCCCACAACUGCAGGGUCCUAUGGAUGCCCAGUGGAGCCCACGGUGAGAACCUGAGGGUGAGGCUGAAGAGACCAUGCUCCCCU
rnacentral:lncRNA from 1 species